GACGAACGCUGGCGGCGUGCUUAACACAUGCAAGUCGAACGAUGAAGCCGGAGCUUGCUCUGGUGAAUUAGUGGCGAACGGGUGAGUAACACGUGAGUAACCUGCCCUUGACUCUGGGAUAACUGCGGGAAACUGUAGCUAAUACCGGAUACGACCCUCGGAGGCAUCUCCUGGGGGUGGAAAGAAUUUCGGUCAAGGAUGGACUCGCGGCCUAUCAGCUAGUUGGUGAGGUAAAGGCUCACCAAGGCGACGACGGGUAGCCGGCCUGAGAGGGUGACCGGCCACACUGGGACUGAGACACGGCCCAGACUCCUACGGGAGGCAGCAGUGGGGAAUAUUGCACAAUGGGCGCAAGCCUGAUGCAGCGACGCCGCGUGCGGGAUGACGGCCUUCGGGUUGUAAACCGCUUUUGAUCGGGAGCAAGCCUUCGGGUGAGUGUACCUUUCGAAUAAGCACCGGCUAACUACGUGCCAGCAGCCGCCGUAACAC
rnacentral:rRNA from 1 species